rnacentral:rRNA from 1 species
ACGCUGGCGGCGUGCCUAAUAAUGCCACUCGAGCGAACUGAUUAGAAGCUUGCUUCUCUGACGUUAGCGGCGGACGGGUGAGUAACACGUGGGCAACCUGCCUGUAAGACUGGGAUAACUUCGGGAAACCGAAGCUAAUACCGGAUAGGAUCUUCUCCUUCAUGGGAGAUGAUUGAAAGAUGGUUUCGGCUAUCACUUACAGAUGGGCCCGCGGUGCAUUAGCUAGUUGGUGAGGUAACGGCUCACCAAGGCAACGAUGCAUAGCCGACCUGAGAGGGUGAUCGGCCACACUGGGACUGAGACACGGCCCAGACUCCUACGGGAGGCAGCAGUAGGGAAUCUUCCGCAAUGGACGAAAGUCUGACGGAGCAACGCCGCGUGAGUGAUGAAGGCUUUCGGGUCGUAAAACUCUGUUGUUAGGGAAGAACAAGUACAAGAGUAACUGCUUGUACCUUGACGGUACCUAACCAGAAAGCCACGGCUAACUACGUGCCAGCAGCCGCGGUAAUACGUAGGUGGCAAGCGUUAUCCGGAAUUAUUGGGCGUAAAGCGCGCGCAGGCGGUUUCUUAAGUCUGAUGUGAAAGCCCACGGCUCAACCGUGGAGGGUCAUUGGAAACUGGGGAACUUGAGUGCAGAAGAGAAAAGCGGAAUUCCACGUGUAGCGGUGAAAUGCGUAGAGAUGUGGAGGAAACACAGUGGCGAAAGCGGCUUUUUGGUCUGUAACUGACGCUGAGGCGCGAAAGCGUGGGGAGCAA